rnacentral:rRNA from 1 species
GACGAACGCUGGCGGCGUGCUUAACACAUGCAAGUCGAACGGAAAGGCCCUGCUUUUGUGGGGUGCUCGAGUGGCGAACGGGUGAGUAACACGUGAGUAACCUGCCCUUGACUUUGAGAUAACUUCAGGAAACUGGGGCUAAUACCGGAUAGGAGCUCCUGCUGCAUGGUGGGGGUUGGAAAGUUUCGGCGGUUGGGGAUGGACUCGCGGCUUAUCAGCUUGUUGGUGGGGUAGUGGCUUACCAAGGCUUUGACGGGUAGCCGGCCUGAGAGGGUGACCGGCCACAUUGGGACUGAGAUACGGCCCAGACUCCUACGGGAGGCAGCAGUGGGGAAUAUUGCACAAUGGGCGGAAGCCUGAUGCAGCAACGCCGCGUGCGGGAUGACGGCCUUCGGGUUGUAAACCGCUUUCGCCUGUGACGAAGCGUGAGUGACGGUAAUAGGUAAAGAAGCACCGGCUAACUACGUG